rnacentral:lncRNA from 1 species
CUGGAGUUUGGCAUCAGAGCCUGCUGUGAUGGGGCUGUGAUGGGAUGGAGCGCCACGAUGGGAUGGAAGUGGGAUGGAGAGGAGCUCUGCAGUGGGCUGAUGCUGUACUGGGAUGGAGCUCCGUACUGGGAUGGAACUGGGAUGGAGAGGGGCUGUGCUGGGGUGGGUAUCUGUGUUGGGACUGCACUCAUGAUGGGAUGGAGCUGUGCUGAGAUGGGACAGAAAUGGGAUGGGAUGGAGCUCCAUGGUGGGAUGGAAAUGGCAUGGAGAGGAGCUCUGUAGUGGGAGCUCUGCUGUGCUGGGAUGUGAUGGAGCCAUACUGGGAUGGGAUGGAGCCAUACUGGGAUGUGAUGGAUCCAUACUGGGAUGGGACGGAGCCAUACUGGGAUGGGAUGGAUCUAUACUGGGAUGGGAUGGAGCCAUACUGGGACGGGAUAGAUCCAUACUGGGAUGUGAUGGAGCCAUACUGGGAUGGGACGGAGCCAUACUGGGAUGUGAUGGAUCCAUACAGGGAUGGGACAGAGCCAUACUGGGAUGAGAGGGAUGGGAUGGAUCCAUACUGGGAUGGGAUGGAUCCAUACUGGGACGGGACGGAGACAUACUGGGAUGUGAUGGAUCCAUACUGGGAUGGGAUGGAGCCAUACUGGGAUGUGAUGGAUCCAUACUGGGAUGUGAUGGAUCCAUACUGGGAUGGGAUGGAGCCAUACUGGGACGGGAUGGAUCCAUACUGGGAUGGAUCCAUACUGAGACGGGAUGGAUCCAUACUGGGACAGGAUGAAGCCAUACUGGGACGGGAUGGAGCCAUACUGGGAUGGGAUGGAGACAUACUGGGAUGGGAUGGAUCCCUACUGGGACGGGAUGGAGCCAUACUGGGAUGGAUCCAUAUGGGGAUGUGAUGGAUCCAUACUGGGACGGGAUGGAGCCAUACCAGGAUGUGAUGGAGCCAUACUGGGCUGGGAUGGAUCCCUACUGGGAUGGGAUGGAUCCAUACUGGGACAGGAUGGAGCCAUACUGGGAUGGGACAGAGCCAUACCGGGAUGUGAUGGAGCCAUACUGGGAUGGGACGGAGCCAUACUGGGAUGUGAUGGAUCUAUACUGGGAUGGGAUGGAGCCAUACUGGGAUGGGAUGGAUCCCUACUGGGAUGGGAUGGAUCCAUACUGGGAUGGGACGGAGCCAUACUGGGAUGUGAUGGAGCCAUACUGGGAUGGGAUGGAGCCAUACUGGGAUGGGACGGAUCCAUACAGGGACGGGAUGGAGCCAUACUGGGAUGUGAUGGAGCCAUACUGGGACGGGAUGGAUCCAUACUGGGACGCAGCUGUGUGCUGGCUGAGGGCUGUGCUGGGAGCUCCGUGCAGUGCAGGAAUGGGGGUGGCAGAGCUGUGUCCCCCCGGCCCCGGGGUUCAUAUAUGGGGUGGGGAGCGCCCAAAUGCUGCGCACACAGUGGGUAUAAAUGGAGGGCUCUGAAUCCCUCCACUCCAGAGCUGCUUUUCCAUCUGUUUCUGUCUUAUCUGAUCCGGGUUUGGGCAGCACCGCCGUGCGCACACACGUAUGGAUGUAGAUAUGCACACGUGUGCGUGCGUGCAUACAUACAUGUAUGUGGAUAUGCACACAUGUCUGUGUCUGUGUGCAUAGUGGGUAAUGCGCGUCGUUGCUCACUGACACACCCACACUUCUCACAACCCGGGAGCUCUGCUCCCUGCCAGGACCCGAACCACUGCCAGGACCCGAACCACUGCUGCCCCACUCUUGGCACAGUGGCAGCCCCACUGCUGACCCCAUGGCAGCCCCACUGUUGGCACAAUGUCAGCCCCAGUGUUGACCUCAUGGCAUUCCCACUGUUGGCCCCACUGUUGGCACUGCAAUGGUGAUGGUGUUGACCCCAUGGCAGCCCCAGUAUUGGCACCAUGGUGGUCCCAAUGUUGACCCCAUGGCAGCCCCACUGUUGGCACCACAGUGGUCCCACUGUUGGUCCCACUGUUGGCACUGCAAUGGUGAUGGUGUUGACCCCAUGGCGGCCCCAGUAUUGGCACCAUGGUGGUCCCAAUGUUGACCCCAUGGCAGCCCCACUGUUGGCACAAUGUCAGCCCCAGUGUUGACCCCAUGGCAGCCCCACUGUUGGCACCACAGUGGUCCCACUGUUGGCCCCACUGUUGGCACUGCAAUGGUGAUGGUGUUGACCCCAUGGCAGCCCCACUGUUGGCACAAUGUCAGCCCCAGUGUUGACCCCAUGGCAGCCCCACUGUUGGCACUGCAAUGGUGAUGGUGUUGACCCCAUGGCAGCCCCACUGUUGGCACCACAGUGGUCCCAAUAUUGACCCGAUGGCAGCCCCACUGUUGGCACAAUGUCAGCCCCAGUGUUGACCCCAUGGCAGCCCCACUGUUGGCACCACAGUGGUCCCACUGUUGGUCCCACUGUUGGCACUGCAAUGGUGAUGGUGUUGACCCCAUGGCAGCCCCACUGUUGGCACUGCAAUGGUGAUGGUGUUGACCCCAUGGCGGCCCCAGUAUUGGCACCAUGGUGGUCCCAAUGUUGACCCCAUGGCAGCCCCACUGUUGGCACAAUGUCAGCCCCAGUGUUGACCCCAUGGCAGCCCCACUGUUGGCACCACAGUGGUCCCACUGUUGGUCCCACUGUUGGCACUGCAAUGGUGAUGGUGUUGACCCCAUGGCAGCCCCACUGUUGGCACAAUGUCAGCCCCACUGCUGACCCCAUGGCAGCCCCACUGUUGGCACCACAGUGGUCCCACUGUUGACCCUAUGGCAGCCCCACCGUUGGCACUGCAAUGGUGUUGGUGUUGACCCCAUGGCAGCCCCACUGUUGGCACCCCACCAUCCCCAGCCUCAGCCCCCACCCCUCCCAACCCCCCCCUACCCCAUCAUUGGGUCGCAGCGCCCCCACAGCCUCCCACCCCCCAAAGAACCCUCCGCUUAUAGGGCUCCGUUUCCCUCCUCUCCAUACACCGACCCCACAUUGGCUGCACUCCGUAUAAGCAAUAAGAAUCACUGCCCAGGGGGGGGAUCCUAAUGUCGUUGGGGGGGGGAUUGGG